rnacentral:rRNA from 1 species
GACGAGGGACCCUAGCGUUGUUCGGAAUCAUUGGGCGUAAAGCGGGUGUAGGUGGCUUUAUAAGUCAGAUGUGAAAGCCCUGGGCUUAACCCAGGAAGUGCAUUUGAUACUGUAAAGCUUGAGUGCUGGAGAGGUUACUGGAAUACCUGGUGUAGUGGUGAAAAUACGUAGAUAUCAGGUGGAACACCGGUGGCGAAGGCGGGUAACUGGCCAGACACUGACACUCAAAACCCGAAAAGCGUGGGGAGCAAACAGG